rnacentral:rRNA from 1 species
UACAGAGGGUGCAAGCGUUAAUCGGAAUUACUGGGCGUAAAGCGUGCGUAGACGGUCAUGUAAGUCGGGUGUGAAAGCCCGGGGCUUAACCCCGGAAUUGCACCUAAAACUACAUGGCUAGAGCAUUGGAGAGGGUAGCAGAAUUCAUGGUGUAGCAGUGAAAUGCGUAGAUAUCAUGAGGAAUACCAGAGGCGAAGGCGGCUACCUGGACAAUUGCUGACGCUCAGGCACGAAAGCGUGGGGAGCAAAAGGG